rnacentral:lncRNA from 1 species
GAUCUACAAAUAAGUCAACAUGACCAAAAUGGUCAGUUGACCACUUUAGGAGUAAUUGCCCUUUAUAGUCAAUUUUUAACCAUUUUUCGUAAAUCUCAGUAAUCUUUUAGAAAAAUCUUCUCCUCUGAAACUACUGGGCCAAAUUUAACCAAACUUAGCCAUAAUCAUCAUUGGGGUAUCUAGUUUAAAAAAUGUGUCCGGUGACCCGGCCAACCAACCAAGAUGGCCGCCAUGGCUAAAAAUAGAACAUAGGGGUAAAAUGCAGUUUUUGGCUUAUAACUCAAAAACCAAAGCAUUUAGAGCAAAUCUGACAGGUGUAAGAUUGUUCAUCAGGUCAAGAUCUAUCUGCCCUGAAAUUUUCAGAUGAAUCGGACAUUUCGUUGUUGGGUUGCUGCCCCUGAAAUGGUAAUUUUAAGGAAAUUUUG